rnacentral:siRNA from 1 species
AUAGAGGCGCAUUGUAACGAGCCC